rnacentral:rRNA from 1 species
AUUGAACGCUGGCGGCAUGCUUUACACAUGCAAGUCGGACGGCAGCACAGAGAAGCUUGCUUCUUGGGUGGCGAGUGGCGCACGGGUGAGUAACAUAUCGGAACGUACCGAGCAGUGGGGGAUAACUAAUCGAAAGAUUAGCUAAUACCGCAUAUCUUCUGAGGAAGAAAGCAGGGGACCAUUUGGCCUUGCGCUGUUUGAGCGGCCGAUAUCUGAUUAGCUAGUUGGUGGGGUAAAGGCCUACCAAGGCGACGAUCAGUAGCGGGUCUGAGAGGAUGAUCCGCCACACUGGGACUGAGACACGGCCCAGACUCCUACGGGAGGCAGCAGUGGGGAAUUUUGGACAUUGGGCGCAAGCCUGAUCCAGCCAUGCCGCGUGUCUGAAGAAGGCCUUCGGGUUGUAAAGGACUUUUGUCAGGGAAGAAAAGGGCGGGGUUAAUACCCCUGUCUGAUGACGGUACCUGAAGAAUAAGCACCGGCUAACUACGUG